CUUUUAUUAUUAUCAUAUUAUCAGUCUUUCUUAUCAAUUUCUCUGCUCCUCCAAACAAAAGAAAUAGGCCAUUCAGGAAUUCUCCCAAAAAUCAGGAAUCCUUAGCUUUUGGCGCAUCUUCCACAAUGACGAGAAAGUUUCUCUCCACACCUUUUUCAACCUUCUUCUACUUGAGACGAACUUUAACUUCAAUUCCCCAACGUUUUCAAUCUCCAUCACCACCCUUUACACUGUAUGAUAUUGAUCAAAACAUUUGUCAUAAUAAACCCACUUGUUAUAACUAUUUUUCUUCAAUUGGGUCUCUCAGAUUUUGCAGAAAAAGUUUAUGUUCAAAACCUGAACAGAAAAUCCAAACUAUAUGUUGGAAUUGUCAUGAUGUUCCUCAAUCAACACCUUUCCUGUUCUGCCAAUCGUGUCGCUGCAUUCAACCUGUUGAUCAUUCAAAUGAUUAUUUUGAUAUUUUUGGAUUGGAGAGGAAGUAUGACAUAGAGGGUAUAGAUUUGGAGGGGAAGUACAAAGACUGGCAAAAGAAACUACAUCCUGAUUUAGUGCAUUCAAAAUCUCAGAAAGAAAGAGAUUUUGCUGCUGAACAAUCUGCAAGAGUGAUUGAUGCAUACCGUACACUUAGCAAGCCUUUGUCAAGAGCGAUUUACAUUCUGAAGCUCAAUGGAGUGGAAAUUGAUGAGGAGCAGACAAUUUCAGAUCCAGAAUUACUAGCAGAGAUUAUGGAAAUCAGGGAAGAAGUUGAAGAAGCAACUAACUCUGAGGCUUUGAAUCACAUUCGCUCUCAGAUGCAGAAGAAACUGCAAAAUUGGUCUAAUGCCUUUGCUGAUGCUUUUCAAAGCCGGGACUUUGAAGAAGCGAAGAAUGCAAUUAGGAGAAUGACUUACUAUAGUCGUGUAAUUGAGGAAGUUGUAAAGAAGCUUUGAUUCAGGAUAUCAUUACUGUUAUGCCUGCUAUGGAUUUUAUGAAUCAAGGCUUUCAAAAUAAAAUGCUUAAGACACAGCUAUUCCCAUGGGGGCCAAAUGGUAGAUCAGUUGUGAGUAUGAACUAUGAAGAAUUUAACUCACCGAUUGCCUAUCAGUAAAUAACCAUAUGAUUUCAUCAUUUGUAUCAAUGCACCUUAUUGCUUCUCUACAUGUGUCGAAGUUUACAUGUUACACACCACAAGGCACAUCUCUAGCAUGAGCAGAAUGAUUGCUCAAUAUACACUCUUCAGACCCGCUGCGAGCAACUGUUAUGUAAUCUUGAACUGAAUUAUAUCUAGGUAGGUAUUUUUUUUUUUAGUUUUUCACUACCAGUUUAAUCUGGUUUGGGAGUCAGUUCUGGCAUCAAAUGGUUUCAGCCCCCUUCCGAUCGCAGUAGCGGGCGAGGUAGGUAUUUUCUAAUCAAAGGAAUUUUGAUGCACUUGUAUUUAAUGGAAUAAAAGUGUUUAGAUGCGAGGAUAUAAUAUUUGCAUUUGAUAAUAAUCAAAUAAGUGAAACAAGGUUGAUGCUA